GUCGAUGAUGGGUUCCUGACCUGAGACCACACAACAGGCCCAAAGGCGAGACACCUACCAAUGGGGGCACCAGCAGCUGGAUGGCCGCUCAGAGUCCCCGCCAGCUGAGAGCAGAGCAUCUGAACAAACUCCUGGCUUGCCUUGCUGACAGUUUCACCUCCCAUAAGACUGAACAGUGACAGGAAGGAUUGCUACUCUACUCGUGAGUUAAUUCAAACCAGGAAGGAGAAGCUGUCGACAGACAGACAUCCUACACAUGGUGGGGAACAUGGCCACAGCCAGGUGUCUGCUUUACAUUGUCUUAACUACAUGGAUCUCAGGCAAUGCCUUUCCCUUCUAGUUCCAGUUGCAACAGAGAAGGCCUGUGAUUGGCCUAAUUGUCUCGGUGCUAUUCCUGAGUGGGCAGAUGUGGAAACUGAGUCUGAGAGAGAUUAAAUGAAAUCACCCAGAUGAUAUUAUAACCUGGUAUGCCAUGGAACCAGGAUUCGACCCCAAUACUGUUGCUUCUGCCAAACAGAGGUCUUUUUUUUAAAAAAGAUUUUUAUUUAUUUAUUCAUGAGAGACACACAGAGAGAGGCAGAGACACAGGCAGCGGGAGAAGCAGGCUUCCUGCGGGGAGCCCGUUGUGGGUCUCGAUCCCAGGACCCCGGAAUCACGCCCUGAGCUGAAGGCAGACAUUCAACUGCUGAACCACCCAGGAGUCCCUAAAUAGAGGUAUUUCCUAUCCGUGGGUGCAGGAUUGGAGAAAGAAGACAGAGACCAUGGGAUGCCGACAACUCAU